GGUGACAAAUAUUAUAAAUGUUAAAAAGGAGAGAAACAUAUGUACCUUCUCAAGAAUUCCAAAUUUGGUUCAUAGCAGACUUCUUACCACACAUCAUUAGGAAACCUAUAAACCUUGAAUCAACAUUUUUAAAAAUAGAAAUGUAUAGAAUAAGCAUCAAUUAGUAAAUUCUUGAGAACCAAAAUCGGAGUACAUCCAUGUCAGAAGAUGCCAUGGUCCAAGUUGUAGCAUGAGCAGGGAACAAAAACUGAUUUUCAGAUUAAUUAGAAAGUCAUCGGAGAGGAAACAACGGUUGUGGGAUCAGGCAGGCAUGCCAUUGAUGCCAUGCUUGGAGGAGACUGUAAGUGGUGUGUGGUGUCGGCGACAGAUGCGGUAAUGUUAGCUCUUACACAAAGACCGGUCACAAGAAUUCAAAUGAACUCUGAAUUUGUAGUCAAGGAAACAAAUAGUAGACACGAAAUGGAUCUGACAUCACUGGGCAAAGCCUGCGCCAUUAUGCUCUCACGGUUUAUUUGAUAGUUUUGAACUUCUUUUAAACAAAAUUGAGAUUAUUGAAAUUGUACAUACUACUGCUGAAAAGAAACUACACGAUAAUUCAAGUGGUUAUGCCCUCAAAGUAUGCAAAGAGAGGGCAUGUGAAACGGUUAUAAUCUUCUGCAGGUGACCUGAUGAAAAAGAAAUGUUUCAUUAUCAAAUUUUCCAUUCAUGAAAAAACAAAAUUCAUAUAAGUAAAGCUCACACUAAAGAUAUCACAUAUUAAGCAGGCCAAUGAUGUUGAAAAGUUAUCCGUCAGCAACCAAAUGGAUUGUAUUCUGGUGAAAUCUCUAACAACAGUGACGAUCUCUAGAAAGGUAGCCCCAAACACACAGUACACAGGGUACUUGUAUAGAAUGCAAGUUUACAUAUCCAACCAAAGAAAUAUUAAUUCAGAUUUGAAUGAAGCAAACAAAAAUGCAGAAUUAGCAAUGGAGGGGAACUUGGGAAGAAUAUACCAGUAGGAGACAAAAAUCUGCAGAGUAUGCAUAUGCAGUGAUCGGGCCGACCAAGAUGACUACUUGGUUGUCGUACAACACGCACCACCUGAGAUCACGGGAAGAGGAAGUGAAGUACCAUCUCGGAUAUUAUUAGGAGAGGAAGCGCCAAACAUCAAUUACUGAAUACCUGCAACAAAAGCUAUAGAUGAGAGAGGUUGUUGUUUCUUCAGAAGUAGGCUGUUAAAUAUAGAAGGCAGAAGGCAUAAAGCAGUGGGUGUGUACGCCUGUACGGUUCGUGUGAUCUCUUUUGAAAAAGAUUUUUUUUGAAGACAGAAUACCAAAUAUGUACUGAAGAACAGGUACUGAACCUUGCAAAUCCAUCGCUGGUAGAAAGGAGCCAAACUUCCUGUGCAGAUGCAUGAGGUCAGCUUGCCCCAAAACAAAAAAGGCACCAUUGCUGCAGUAGAACGUCACUUGCCAGGAAGGGCCACCAUUGCCGCAGUCAAUGUCGUCUCUGUAUCAGUCGAGGCGGCACCUGCGUGCGUCGAUCUAGCACUCCUGCAAGUCAUGGUUAUCAAUGCCAAUGGAGGCCCUACCCGAUGUCACCACCAGCC
rnacentral:lncRNA from 1 species